GAUGAACGCUGGCGGCGUGCCUAAUACAUGCAAGUCGAGCGAACAGACGAGGAGCUUGCUCCUCUGACGUUAGCGGCGGACGGGUGAGUAACACGUGGAUAACCUACCUAUAAGACUGGGAUAACUUCGGGAAACCGGAGCUAAUACCGGAUAAUAUAUUGAACCGCAUGGUUCAAUAGUGAAAGACGGUUUUGCUGUCACUUAUAGAUGGAUCCGCGCCGCAUUAGCUAGUUGGUAAGGUAACGGCUUACCAAGGCAACGAUGCGUAGCCGACCUGAGAGGGUGGUCGGCCACCUGGGAACUGGACCACGGUCCAGACUCCUACGGGAGGCAGCAGUAGGGAAUCUUCCGCAAUGGGCGAAAGCCUGACGGAGCAACGCCGCGUGAGUGAUGAAGGUCUUCGGAUCGUAAAACUCUGUUAUUAGGGAAGAACAAAUGUGUAAGUAACUAUGCACGUCUUGACGGUACCUAAUCAGAAAGCCACGGCUAACUACGUG
rnacentral:rRNA from 1 species